CCUACGGGAGGCAGCAGUGGGGAAUCUUCGGCAAUGGGCGCAAGCCUGACCGAGCCAUGCCGCGUGAGCGAUGAAGGCCUUAGGGUUGUAAAGCUCUUUCGCCAGGGAUGAUAAUGACAGUACCUGGUAAAGAAACCCCGGCUAACUCCGUGCCAGCAGCCGCGGUAAU
rnacentral:rRNA from 1 species